AAAUUCCCGCCGCCCCCCCCCCCAACCGAUUUCUCCUCUGAUUAAUGCAGGGCAUUGGCACCUUACGUUUGUUACAACUGAUGAACUAAUGUUGAUGCAUUAUUGACUCAAGUGCACAGGUCAAGCUUAGAGCCACUCUUGGUGUCGUACCUUCCAGGCAUCUGGCAGCCGGGUAUGUAUCACGUACCCACCACGACAGCAUCCUACGGAGUAUUCACUGCCCUGAAACUCCUCUGUGCUCCGUUCAUCCCGCCCCACCCCACCCCCUGGCACCCACUGACCUUUUUUCUGUUUCCGCGGUUCUGCACUUUCCAGAAUGUCACAUACUUGGAAUCAUACAGUAGUACCAUUGAGGACUUCUGAAUGGAGAGAUUUUCGGAGGGCGGCUGGGGCAGUGGGCCAUAGAAGGGACGGGAAAGGGAGAAGCUGGAGGCAGAGAGACUGAUUAGGAGCUUGCUGGACAGUGCAGACGAGGAAACUGAGGCCCGGAGAGGCCCAGGAAGUUGCUCCCGCCCGCAACCACCCUGCAUCUUGGCCACAUGGAGAAGCCCUCCCCAGACGUUCACCCGGCCCUUCUGCCGGGGCCACCCCCUGCCCCCUGUCCCCGCGCCCCCUGAAUCGAGGCUGGCUCUGUCUUGCAAAUAAAGCAAUAAUGACCCCUGUGACGCUGGCUGGGGGGUGAGCGGCGGGAACGCGGCAGGCGGGGCCGGCAGAGGUGAGAACUGGGGGUCCCGGUCGAGAUCCCUAGGCAGGGGCCUCCAGGUGAGCUCUCCAAACGCCACCCUUGGAUGGGCCUUGUUCCCCUCGAGCGGGAUAGCGUUUAUUCUUCCCUCGGGAACAGUCACCAGGGCCGGGGGAACGUUGCGCAACGAGACUGCCAGCCAGGUCCCCUCCGCUCCUCCGUUUCUGUGGCUCUUGCCAGUUUACCCACUGCUAAUAACAGUAGGUCUGCUGUGCGGAGGGCCAACCUGUGCUGGCCUGCACCUCGCACAGUCAUCACCUGCAUUUCAGACCGGCGAAAACCGGGGCACUUGCCCGGAGUCACCUGGAGAGUCAGUGGAGCGAUCAGAAUCGGAACCCAGGGCCGUCCAAGGAAAGCACCCUUCCCCUCUGCCACGCGGUCGUCCCUCGGCCACCCGGGAGCCCGUACACCCGAGGGGGCACCCUGCCAGUGUCGCUGGCCUGACACGCGCGGGCAGGACUUGAGUGUGUGUCUUCCCCCCCGGUCCAGAAAACCAGCCUGUCCGAGCUCCCCACCUAAGACAGAAGGCGACUGGUGCUCUGAGGGUCCACCAUAGACAUUCACACGCACCCAGCGCUUUUCCCUAAGUGCUUUCCACGGUCGAUCUCAUUUGAGCCUCAGGUCAACCAUUAUCCACUUUGAAGAUGAGGCGUUCUAAAGGCCAAGCCCCUGGCCCAAGACCACAGGACAGCAAGGAGGACGAUGACCCAGGUCUGACUUCUCGUCCUGACCUCCUUCCACCCUACGCCACCAGCCCCGGGUCGGUCCCCUGGGGAGCGGUGUCCCAACAGAAUGAGCUUCCAGAAUCCCAGCUGGAGUGCAGCCUUGGCCGGGCUGUGGCCACACUGCCACCCGACAAGCCCAGGGGCCCAUCCCAACGCGACUCAGGUCCGUGCCGAGACGGCUGCAGGGACCGGUCGUGCAAAGGUGAGGGCACCAUCCGAGGCCCAGAGGGCUGGCUCCGGGGGUGGGGGCUGGGCUUUCUUCCCUCUCGUGGCGCCUGGGUUCCCCAUCUGGCUUUCAGCUCCAAGUCAAAAUGUG